GUAAUCGUGGCCUAGUGGUUAGAGCGUCCUCCUCGGAUUCGGGAGGUUGUGGGUUCGAACCCCUGCGAAUUAGU